ensembl:lncRNA
AUGACACCGCAGGGCCCUCGGGGGCCCGGCCCCAGGAAUUGGACUGGACUGAUCUGCUGCCCACAGGACGGCUGCUAUCGGCUCAUCUCUGCUGAGAAUGAGAUCCCUCAACCGACCUUCACCAGAUCCCUAUCUCCGUGCUCCAGAGGACUGCACCCAGGCAUCAGACCGUACGGGUCUAUCUACAGUGGACAUCACUCCUCCCCGGGGACCCGUUCUGAUGGGAAGAUCUGGUUCCACACCAGCACUAAACCCCGGCCCCCAGGAAGCUUCUGGGUCCCUCUUGAUUGAAAACCGCCCGGAGAGCUGGUGUUUGGACCGGCGAUGGGGCCGAUGACCAGCGUGGCUGGGGGCUGAAAUACAGACGAGGCCCCAGUGACAUGAUGGGCAAUGUUUUAUGGCGGGGAAUCAGAUGGAUGAAUGAUAGGAGAGGUGAGGACAUUUAAUUUGUCAGCCCCAGAUGUGAUAUGAGGAUGAUCUCUCUCUCUCUGUCUCUCUCUCACACACACACACACACACACACACACACACACACACACACACACACACACACACACACACACACACACACACACACACACACACACACACACACACACACACACAGAGUCUGACAGACUGCUCUAAAUUCAGCCCAGACCCAACAUUUAGUCUAGCGUCACAAUAGCUUUACCUAAAAUGGCUACAACCUGGAUUAAGAUCAGGCUUUAAAUUUGCUCUGAGUUACUCGAUUAAAGGCUAAGGAACACUAGCCUUUACCCUAGCAUUACCCUAGCAAUGACCUAGCAUUACCCUAGCUUUUUUGCCUCGCAUCACCUUAGCUCAAACCUUGUGUUACCCUAGCUUUAACUAACAGUAACAUUCCCCAUUGCUCAAUGGAUCUCUACUACAGCAAAAACCUCUUUCUUUUUAGUUGAACUCAAACUGCUUUAAUACAUUUCUCCUUCUCCUCGUGUCAUCACUACUGUGUGAAACCAUCUCUUUGGCUCUCCUCCCGUCUCUCUUCCUAGAGAGCAUUCCUUUUUCCUUAAAGAACAUGAAAGGAGAAAUGUCCUUCGUGCCACAGGACACCAAGACUAGGAAGCGGGAGAAAUAGAGAUAAAAGAUAUACUGCCCCGGUUUGCACAUUGUAUUUACCACCAGUGUUGAAGCCGGUCCUAUCGAUUGUGCUUCUGUAAUAAAACAUACGUAGGCCUGGCUGUAGGCGUCGAGGCGUCUCCAUCUUUAUUCAUUUGCUGCGCGGCUUUGCACAGCGACAUCCCCAACACACCUUCUGUCAUCGGAUACUCCCUCAUUACACACACAAACACACAAUUCCUGCUUGAUUUACACAUCUGCAACCUCCCAGCCAAACACACAAGUACACAACACACACAUUCCUCCUUCCCUCCACUCUCCAAUCCUGUUUACCGCAAAUGGGAGCACAGUGUCCAGGUUUGCGUGACAAAGAGUGUUCGAUAGCGAUCCAAUGAAUCAGUAUAAGUGCAGAGGCUUGCCUAUCUAUUUAUCAGCACCCGCUCCCUCUGCUCUGUCCGUACAGGAGCUGAGAAUGCAUAUUGAGCUGCGGUUCUUCCUCUAUUUCAUGCUCGACCGGCUCAGGGGCUAAUGAGUGGAGUUAGCGUCUCAGCGUAACGCUAGGCAGCGGUGUGAUCAAAAAAGAACCACUAAUUCCUUUAAGAUUAGUACUGGAACCGCAUUACCGGGAAAAGCCGG